GAGUAACACGUGGGUAACCUGCCUGUAAGACUGGGAUAACUCCGGGAAACCGGGGCUAAUACCGGAUGCUUGUUUGAACCGCAUGGUUCAAACAUAAAAGGUGGCUUCGGCUACCACUUACAGAUGGACCCGCGGCGCAUUAGCUAGUUGGUGAGGUAACGGCUCACCAAGGCAACGAUGCGUAGCCGACCUGAGAGGGUGAUCGGCCACACUGGGACUGAGACACGGCCCAGACUCCUACGGGAGGCAGCAGUAGGGAAUCUUCCGCAAUGGACGAAAGUCUGACGGAGCAACGCCGCGUGAGUGAUGAAGGUUUUCGGAUCGUAAAGCUUCUGUUGUUAGGGAAGAACAAGUACCGUUCGAAUAGGGCGGUACCUUGACGGUACCUAACCAGAAAGCCACGGCUAACUACGUGCCAGCAGCCGCGGUAAUACGUAGGUGGCAAGCGUUGUCCGGAAUUAUUGGGCGUAAAGGGCUCGCAGGCGGUUUCUUAAGUCUGAUGUGAAAGCCCCCGGCUCAACCGGGGAGGGUCAUUGGAAACUGGGGAACUUGAGUGCAGAAGAGGAGAGUGGAAUUCCACGUGUAGCGGUGAAAUGCGUAGAGAUGUGGAGGAACACCAGUGGCGAAGGCGACUCUCUGGUCUGUAACUGACGCUGAGGAGCGAAAGCGUGGGGAGCGAACAGGAUUAGAUACCCUGGUAGUCCACGCCGUAAACGAUGAGUGCUAAGUGUUAGGGGGUUUCCGCCCCUUAGUGCUGCAGCUAACGCAUUAAGCACUCCGCCUGGGGAGUACGGUCGCAAGACUGAAACUCAAAGGAAUGACGGGGGCCCGCACAAGCGGUGGAGCAUGUGGUUUAAUUCGAAGCAACGCGAAGAACCUUACCAGGUCUUGACAUCCUCUGACAAUCCUAGAGAUAGGACGUCCCCUUCGGGGGCAGAGUGACAGGUGGUGCAUGGUUGUCGUCAGCUCGUGUCGUGAGAUGUUGGGUUAAGUCCCGCAACGAGCGCAACCCUUGAUCUUAGUUGCCAGCAUUCAGUUGGGCACUCUAAGGUGACUGCCGGUGACAAACCGGAGGAAGGUGGGGAUGACGUCAAAUCAUCAUGCCCCUUAUGACCUGGGCUACACACGUGCUACAAUGGACAGAACAAAGGGCAGCGAAACCGCGAGGUUAAGCCAAUCCCACAAAUCUGUUCUCAGUUCGGAUCGCAGUCUGCAACUCGACUGCGUGAAGCGGAAUCGCUGGUAAUCGCGGAUCAGCAUGC
rnacentral:rRNA from 1 species